rnacentral:rRNA from 1 species
AGAAUCAACGCUGGCGGCGUGCCUAACACAUGCAAGUCGAACGAGAAAGUGGAGCAAUCCAUGAGUACAGUGGCGUACGGGUGAGUAACACGUGACUAACCUACCCUCGAGUGGGGAAUAACCUCGGGAAACCGGGGCUAAUACCGCAUAAUAUCUUCGGAUCAAAUGCGUAAGCAGCUUGAGGAGGGGGUCGCGGCCGAUUAGCUAGUUGGCGGGGUAAUGGCCCACCAAGGCAAUGAUCGGUAGCCGGCCUGAGAGGGCGCACGGCCACACUGGAACUGAAACACGGUCCAGACUCCUACGGGAGGCAGCAGUGGGAAUUUUGCGCAAUGGGGGAAACCCUGACGCAGCAACGCCGCGUGGAGGAUGAAGCCCCUUGGGGUGUAAACUCCUUUCGAUCGGGACGAUUAUGACGGUACCGGAUGAAGAGCACCGGCUAACUCUGCGCCAGCAGCCGC